ACGAGUUCGGGGAAUUGGGGCGCUGAAGGGCACUCAUGAAUAGGGUGGGAUGGGCUAGAACAAAUAGUACACACUUGUGCUUGGGAAGAGUUCAUGUAAUGCCCACCUAUCAUCAGUUGGUCAAUCUUAUGGGACAAUGCAUCUACCUUGCUAGACAGGUCCAUAGAAUGACUUAUUUCACAAAUUGUCCCUUUUCUUUGAGAACUCGGGGGUGCUUGACGAGAACAUGAAGCAUGGUGAGGGAGUUUUCAUUAAGAUUUUCAAAUAAUUUCCN
rnacentral:lncRNA from 1 species